CGCAAUGGGCGAAAGCCUGACGCAGCAACGCGCGUGCGGGAAGAAGGCCUUCGGGUUGUAAACCGCUUUCAGAAGGAACGAAACUGACGGUACUUUCAGAAGAAGGUGCGGCCAACUACGUGCCAGCAGCCGCGGUGACACGUAGGCACCAAGCGUUGUCCGGAUUUAUUGGGCGUAAAGAGCUCGUAGGCGGUUCGGUAAGUCGGGUGUGAAAACUUUGGGCUCAACCCAAAGCGUGCAUUCGAUACUGCCGUGACUAGAGUUCGGUAGGGGAGUGGGGAAUUCCUAGUGUAGCGGUGAAAUGCGCAGAUAUUAGGAGGAACACCGGUGGCGAAGGCGCCACUCUGGGCCGAAACUGACGCUGAGGAGCGAAAGCGUGGGUAGCAAACAGGAUUAGAUACCCUGGUAGUCCACGCCGUAAACGUUGGGCACUAGGUGUGGGUCUCAACCAACGAGAUCCGCGCCGUCGCAAACGCAUUAAGUGCCCCGCCUGGGGAGUACGGCCGCAAGGUUAAAAACUCAAAGGAAUUGACGGGGG
rnacentral:rRNA from 1 species